rnacentral:rRNA from 1 species
GAUGAACGCUGACAGAAUGCUUAACACAUGCAAGUCUACUUGAAUUUGGGUUUUUUAACUUAGAUUUGGGUGGCGGACGGGUGAGUAACGCGUAAAGAACUUGCCUCACAGCUAGGGACAACAUUUGGAAACGAAUGCUAAUACCUGAUAUUAUGAUUAUAAGGCAUCUUAGAAUUAUGAAAGCUAUAUGCGCUGUGAGAGAGCUUUGCGUCCCAUUAGCUAGUUGGAGAGGUAACGGCUCACCAAGGCGAUGAUGGGUAGCCGGCCUGAGAGGGUGAACGGCCACAAGGGGACUGAGACACGGCCCUUACUCCUACGGGAGGCAACAGUGGGGAAUAUUGGACAAUGGACCAAGAGUCUGAUCCAGCAAUUCUGUGUGCACGAUGACGUUUUACGGAAUGUAAAGUGCUUUCAGUUGGGAAGAAAAAAAUGACGGUACCAACAGAAGAAGUGACGGCUAAAUACGUG